AAUUAAUGUUAGUCACUGUUGUCUUUUUUGUUUUUGUUUUUUUUUUUUUUUUUUGAGGCGGAGUCUCGCUCUUUCGCCCAGGCCGGACUGCAGUGGCGCUAUCUCGGCUCACUGCAAGCUCCGCCUCCCGGGUUGACGCCAUUCUCCUGCCUCAGCCUCCUGAGUAGUUGGGAUUACAGGCGCCCGCCACCGCGCCUGGCUAAUUUUUUGUAUGUUUAGUAGAGACGGGGUUUCACCGUGUUAGCCAAGAUGGUCUCGAUCUCCUGACCUCGUGAUCCGCCUGCCUCGGCCUCCGGCCUCCCAAAGUGCUGGGAUUACAGGCGUGAGCCACCGCGCCCGGCCCUCACUGUUGUCUUUUAAGUAGUGAAACAGGAAUGUCUCUCUGAUCAGAAAGCACAAUUAAGAUUCUGCAGAAAAGGAAAUCCAGCUCGGUGCCACCAAUCUGUACUAGGAAUGAAGAUUUGUUACCUGUCCUGCUGACGUCAGACCCAGCACCAGGUGCAGAAGCAACCAUCAUACAAAAAUCAAGCUUCCUUAAUUAUCCUCUGAAGAGUCCCUACCAGCAAGAAGGCUCUCACCAGACGUGGCCCUUUGACCUUGGAUUUCUCAGCCUUCAAAACUCUUGAGAUGCCCGAUCCCAGGCUCACCGAAGCGAGGUGAUACCAGACUCUCCCAGGCUCACCCAGGACAUGGUUUUCAUGUAGUGCAGUGUAGCAGGGACUCUGAUUAGGAACGUCAUGUCCCAAAGCAGAUCAGAGCCCAGAUGGGGCAGAGGGUCUCAGAUCUACAACACCUGAACACCUCCCCUGAGGAAGCCUCAAGUUCAGUGCUAGCUCUGCAGUCAACAUCAACCUAAAAUAUUACUACAGACAGAAAUCGUUCUGGAUCAAAAUUCUGAUCUUCUUUCCACUUUUUCAGACUCAUCAGAAGAGGUGUCUAAGAAGAUGCACAAAAAAAUUUGCAAGUGGACCAUUAUUGCCUGAGGGUCUAAAGUUUUACCAGAUUCUUUUUACAAUGAAGUAUAUAUAGUGUACAUGCUUGGGGAAAAUGCUGGGUCUUAAACCCAACCUCUAUUAACACGAUUAUUGCUCAUUAAUCAUGGCUGAAAAAUCUGGCAUCAAGAAUCACCGAGAUCCUAGCUACUCAAAGUGUAAUCCCUGGAUCAACAGCAUCAGCAGCAUCUGAGAGCUUGUUGGAGAUGCAGAAUCUCAGGCAGACCUACUGAACCAAAAAAAAAAAAAAAAUCUCAUUUUAACAAGACCCACAGGGGAUUGAAAUUUUCCUUCCACAUUUGAGAAGCACUGCUCUAGAUCCUCUCUCUUGAGGAGGUCAUUUACGUCAGGUUCUAUUCUUAAUAGGAAACAGGUUGAGAAAUAAAAACCUCAACAGGGCUACAAAUACGAACCCAGAAAAUGUGAAGUUUUUAGUGAAUGUUGAAAACAAGGCAGCAAAAUGGCUGUUUAUUAAACCUAAUAUAUUCUGUACUGAGAUCAAAAGGCAGGUGUUACAAGGACCAUAGCUCUAAUUAUGAAGUUGGCUAUUUCAACACGACCAGCCACUGAACACUACACGCUUCCCCUUCGUGCUUUUAGUCUUUCCCAUAAAUGCCACAUGGUUCUUUUGGCAGAAUUAGCUCCCAGAUUUGCAGUGGGAAUUAGACAAGAACAUUUUCUCCUUCCUUUCCUUUGAGAUGCAGGGAUGGGGGCUAGAGCAGGCAGCAGGGAGCACUUCUGAGGCCAGGAGUAAGCAAAACUAAAACCAGAGAAGGGGUGCCAAGAUAUGAAUGCCAGAGGGAACAUAAGGGCACAAAACUGCAAGAGGGGGAAGGAGGGUGACACAUUGCCAGGUGCCUGGGACCAGAGACGCACCAAGUGGUAGGGUCUUUUUAAAAUUUUAUUUCUUAGAAUGUAUUUUUAAUUAACAAAUAAAACUUAUAUUUAUGGUAUCUAACAUGAUGUUUUGGAAUAGGUAGACACUGUGCAAUGGCUAAAUCCAGCUAAUUAACAUAUGCAUUGCCUCACAUUUUUAUUUUUUUGUGCUGAGAACACUUAAAAUCUACUCUUAGCGAUUUUCAAGAACAUAAUACAUUGUUAUUAAUUAUAGUCACUGUGUUGUACAAUAGAUCUCUUGAAUUUAUUCACCCUGUCUAAGUGAAAUUUUGUAUCCUUUGACCACCCCUCUCCCAGUGCCCAGGCAACCAGCAUUCCGCUGUCUGCUUCCAUGUGUUACACUUUUUUAGCUUCCAUGUAUAUGAGUGAGAUCAUGUGGGAUUUGCCUUUCUGUUUUUGGCUUAUUUCACUUAGCAAAUGUCCUCCAGGUUCACGCAUGUUGUCACAAAUGACAGAACUUCUUCUCUUUUUAAGGCUGAGUAGUAUUCCAUUGUGUAUAUAUACCACAUUUUCUUUAUCAGCUCAUCUGUUGAUAGACAUUUAGGUUGAUUCCAUAUCUUGACUGUUGUGAAUAGUGCUGCAACAAACAUGAGAGGGGGUGCAGAUAUCUCUUUGACAUACCGAUUUCAUUUCCUUUGUAUCUAUACUGAGCAGUGGG
rnacentral:lncRNA from 1 species